AGAAUUCUGCUGCAAAUCUUGUAGAAUCUAUUCAGAAUGGUAGUCUACUUGCAAUGGCUGGUUCUGUUGCACCGUCUUUAUUAGAGACAAGGAAGGCUUUUACUGCAAAGGGAAUGCAAGUGCUUGAAACUGUGGGCAAGGAGACCAUGGACCUACUGAUCACAGAGACUAGUAUU